GGUAAUGUAGUUCUCUUGGACAAUGGCCCGGGUGGAAUGCUGUUUCAGGCCUGACUUUAAACACACCCACCUAAGGACGCUGCAGAGUGCUGGCACAUGUUGGGCUAUUGGGGAUAGUGCCGGAAUAAAAAACAUGGGCAUACAACAGUGUACCCCAAGAAGUCUUUGCCAGAGGGAAAACACAUAGGGCUGCCUGGUCUUGGACUUACAGCCUUCAAACUGAUGGUGAAUUGUGCUCAGCUGUGAAAAAGGAUGUGGAUCUAUUCCUAAAUGGAACCACUGAUGAAUAUGUUACCUACAUGAAGAAAUACAUAAGUGACCCUGAAAUGUUGGCCAUUGCUGCAUCUGUUAAGGAAUGUGUUGAUGACAAAUUGACAGAAGAGGAUAAGGAGAAUGCAUCCAGUGUGUUGGAGAAAAUAUACUCAAGCCAGUACUGUUAAAGGAUCCAUCCUUACCAAGAGACCCACGGAAGCCACGUGCCUGCUCACUACACAGUCUCAGCAGCCCACCAUGUGCGGGUGUCUGACUAGAGGAUUCCAGCAAUAAAAACCCUGCAAUUCACAGGAGAGCCUUGACUCACUGCCUGGAGGUCGGCCAAUUGCGUGGGUGUGGGCAGAGGCGUGGCAGGGACCAUCAGUGUGACAUCCAACUGCAGCUGGCUCUGGUUGUGCUCAGAUGUUCCUCCACUGAGUUAAGGGGGUGGGGGUGGGGUGGACGACAAUCACAGCAGCCAGAGUGCCAGAUCACUUCUGUGGAGUAAGAUCCUCAGGGCACAUAUCUAAUCCAUCAAAUUUUAUCCCCCAGCAACCUUGAAAAGUGGGAAUCCUCCUCUUAGUCUUAAAGCUGAGGAAAUUCAGACCCUGAGAGAUAAACUGUGUGCCAAAGACCACAGUAAUUGUGUGCAGCAGAAUCUGCUCCCUCUACCCUCUUCUGGGCACACAGGCUCACUGUGGACCUAUCCGUGUAUUAUAAUCCUUCCUGGGGCUGCUGAUCGCACGCAUGGGAUGGAAAUAAUACCUCACAUCUUCAGGGUUGUAGUGAGGCCAAAGUGGAAUAAUGGGUGACAAAGGGCUCAUGCUUCAAGUGCCUAACAGGACUAAGAAUAGAGGGUCAAGGAGCAAGUGCUGAACCUGCCAGGAUCAGCAAAUGCAUUCCUGGGCCUCACUACCGCACUGCCAGCCACCCAAUGGUAGCCUCAGCUGCCUCCGAAUUGGCUCUGACACACAGAGUGGGAACCCAGGGUCUUGAAACUUCAGAACCCCUCCCAUGGCCCUGCACUGUGGUCAUGACUCUGGAUGCUUUCUCAGACCCUGCCGCCCCCCCCCCCUCAGUCUCCUCUUGGCCUGGCCCCGCCACCACUCUUACCAGCUACUCUGACACUAUUCUUAUGAUCACCAUGAGCUGCCCAGGUAAGAGUCCCCUGGACACACACAGGGCCCUACCCAGCACUUGCUUUAGAACAGCCCGCUCUAGGGAGAGCUAACUCAGUCUGAGGCACCAGCAUUAAUUACUGCCCAGGGCACUGCCCCCAAUUAGCUGGUCAUCUCCCAUUUUCUUCACCUCUAAAAGUUUCUACCACCUCUCACAUCACCACACUGGGCACCAAGCUUCCAGUCUGUGAAGCCUUGGUGAACAUAACCAAACCAUAUUCACACAAAGAGAACAGACCGUCCACCUUGCCCGAAGUAAGGCCUCCCUCUCUGUCUGGAACCCUAUGCUUCAUCUCUCCAGGGUCUAAAUGGAGGCUUCUGAAAUGGGGGACUCCUGCCUUUGUAGGAGUUAUUUGGGUAGUACAGAAAGAAUAAGGAGCUUUUGGGGCAGAGGCAAUCUCAUCACCUCACACAUAAAACCAGGUGUAUUCCUCCACUCUCCAUAGAUUUAAGAGCUCCAGUGUUUCUAAGGGUUAGGGGUGGAGCUCAGUGGCAGAGCAGUUGCCAAGCUUCCACACAGCCCUGAAUUCAAUUCCCAGCACUGCAAAAAAUAAAAUAGAAAAUAACUGGCCUUCCAAAUGGAGAUUUGCCAUGCACACAUAUUGGGUGGGUGAGGAACCACAAUGUCUUGGGUAAAGGCUCACCCUGACCUGCACCAAGAGCAGGAUACGACGGAUACCCUAUCCACAGAUGAGGAGGGGACGACUGAUAAGCAGUCUGUUCUAGGUGGAAAACAGUUGGCCGCUACUCAACUCCUGUGGAAUUUCUUGGGGAAUUUUGAACACGAAAUAGUUAUCUCAAUAUUAUUGUCAGUGUGCUCCCUACCCUUUCAUUUUCUUCCUCCAACCUAUAGAGACUUUGAAAAACCUGGAGUUAGAAAAAAGUAAGAAUCAGAAGCCCUUUCCAAUCAUUUUCUGUCUGAUAUCAAAACCCAAGGCUUAGAUGAUAUAUGCCAAUAUUUUGUUAGUUUUGCUCCCUUAUUCUCAUAUCACAUUGCCUCCAUAGAAGCCCCAUUUCAUUUUCACCUCAACCAACCUAAGUGACCGGAAGGUACAGUGGACAAUUCCCUAUUGCAAAAUGUUGUCAUUCCUCAAACACGCGCAUUUCUCUUCAUUGCUUCUCCACUUUCUCCAGUUCUCGGGCAGUUGCUGGAGCACUGUUAGGAUCACUAUGAAAGUGUGGGGAAUCGAUGCCCAUAGGGCCACCCUCCAACAAUGCAGCCCUCGGCCUCCUUGACUUCCGGAAGAUCACUUUGAGGUGAAUCCCACACUUUCUCUGAGAAGGUGCCAUGGAUCAAACUCAGAACCUUGUGCUUCCGAGGCAGGUGGUAGAACCACUCAGCUAAAUCCCCUGCCCUGACUGAUCAUGAAAGAAAGACAACAAAAUUCAAGAGGUUCAACAAAGGAGGAAGUGGGGUUCAGGGACCUUGCGUUCAGGAAUUUCCAAACUGCCCUGACAAGGUUCUUUUGUGGUACAACAUCCUCAACAUCAGGCCAUGGGGACCCUGGAGAUUCUGGGCAAAAGUAUAAAAUUGUCCAUAUAUUAAAGCCUGGGGUCCAGAAAGAGACAGAGAGAUAGAAGCAAACUCUGGUGCCAGUAUAAAGACAACAGGACUGAGACACACUGCAAACAAAGAAAAGCUGUACCUCUGGCACGCAGCAGGAUCGCCUCCAUGACUGCAAUGAGGAUCUGCAUUGAAAGUUGAAUUUAAGCAAGGACCUUAUAUUAUUAGCCCAUUACUAUGUAGAGCUCCUGUGGGACACACAGAAAUAUUUCAUCCAUAUCCCUCUCGUGAAUGGUCUUAUGGCUCUGUGAGAAGAAUGGUGACAAAAAGCCUUCAUUUGUCAGCAGCUUCAGAAUAACAGGCAGCUUCCUUGCCCAAGGCCACAGUUCUUUGGUGAGUAGCCCACUUUAGUAACAGACCAUGGCUAGGUAUAAAGGCUAUGCCACUCAAGGUCAAAAGCAGAACUCUGGCAGGUCACUUCAACUCUAGGGCUUCCCAAUUGGGUGGGACAAUGCCUACAUUGCAACUGCUCCCUCUCUUCAAUCCUGAUUCCGCCCCUCACUUCUCCAGGUUUGUACAGGGACGCUCCCUAGUAAAUCUUCUGGACACGAAACUCUCUCAUAUUCUGCAUCCCAGGGUUCCUAAUCUGUAACAGCUGAUGCCAGCCAGUUAUAGAAUUGUGAUGCUGGAAUACCACCUGACAAGGUAGGUGGAGUAAAAAUAAGGAAAAACUGAGAGUGACUAACAGCUUAAUGCCAGCUGUGAAGGCUGGGGGCCCUCUUUGGUAGUAUGCAGAACAGUGAGAGAAAAGACCAACUGAGGACCAGGUCCAAAAUGAAAUCAUCACAGUGGCCAAGCUCUAAGGAAGGAUAAAAUCCCAACCAAAGCAGAUCUGCUAGGCCUCAGAAUCUGUUUGAGAAGGAAAAGAGUCCCUGACUCCUAAAAUGAUGAAGUCGUUUAGGUUAAGGCACUCCAAAAAUUUAAUUCUCAGGAUUUCCUGGCCCCUCAGGACCUAGAGAGUGGGGCAACUGCCUCUAUUAUGAGCUGCCCUUUUGCCGAAAACAGUCUGGGGCCUCUUCUCUGCAAAAUCAUGGGCCUGUCAGACACAGCCCUUUUGGUCACCUGGCAUAACAAUGCUUAUGUUGCAGCAUAAUUCAGUCAUGGCUAUGCUGUGCUUGAUGACGUAUGGCAGGAGCUAUGCCCUCACAGAACUCGGCAGACAGAGCUGACAUAUACUGACAAGAACCAGAAAGUCCAGGUGGCAAUGGAUUCGGAGGGUGGAUGAUGAAAGAACAAAUGAUUAGAAAAUUUCCCUUGAGAUACAGAACUUAAUAACCCAGUAAAGACAUCAACUAACUCACUGGUUGGACAACUCUCAGAGGUAUGGAACAAAUGGCGGUCCAAGCUAAAUGACAUUUAAAAGUGCUAUAAAUGGCCGGGGAUUUAGCUCAGUGGUUCCGCCACCAGCCUCAC